GGCGCAUGUCUAGCAACAGCGUUAAGUAUAUACCGGAGUGAUAGUUCCUUAGGUUUUAAGUACCGCAAGCGGAUGGGAAUUAUCGUGUAGCAUUUCAACCCGGGGAUUUACCGAGUGUCGUAUUUAUAGGUUCGCUCUAAAGAAGUCUUAAUUGUUAAAGAUUCUAAGAUAAGCAUAGAUCAAAGUAAUUAUGAUAGAAAUAAUGGAAUCAAAAGUCAUAGCAGGUGAUAAACAUUUAUAUGUAGAAUAGUGGUCCAUCACAAUCUAGGCAUGGCAUAUGGGCUAAGGAAUAAAAAGAGACUAAAAGAAUGAAUUGAAUCAAAGAAUAAACAAACAACCUAUUGGAGCAGGUGUGGUCCUCGAUACAGAUCAUGUCAUAGAACAAGUUAAUCAUGUAAUUAUACUACUUAGAUCUAGUCCUGUGU
rnacentral:lncRNA from 1 species